UACGGAGGGGUGCAGCGUUGUUCGGAAUUACUGGGCGUAAAGCGCACGUAGGCGGCUUUGUAAGUUAGAGGUGAAAGCCCAGGGCUCAACCCUGGAAUUGCCUUUAAGACUGCAUCGCUUGAACAUCGGAGAGGUAAGUGGAAUUCCGAGUGUAGAGGUGAAAUUCGUAGAUAUUCGGAAGAACACCAGUGGCGAAGGCGACUUACUGGACGAUUGUUGACGCUGAGGUGCGAAAGCGUGGGGAGCAAACAGG
rnacentral:rRNA from 1 species